rnacentral:lncRNA from 1 species
GGCGACGCCCGGGUGCUGGUCGGCGGUCGGAACAAAUCCGGACCUGACCUCGCGGUUGCCCUGGCCAAGAGAGUGGCCGAGAGGGCGCCUUGCGACGGGGGCUGGGAGGACAGCGGGAGAGCGAGGGCGCGGGGCGGCCUGCCGCGUCCUGCGUCGCAGACACAGCCCGGCGGCGACGUACGGGAGCAGGCCGUUCCCACAAGGAGCAGAUGGCCUGUGGCACGGUCUCCUGCUCUAGGGGACCGCAGGCCCGUCGGGCCGAUGGCCUCGCGGGCGCCGACCCGCGCGUUCCUGACUGACUGGCUUAAGACCCGCUUGUGGGAGAGCCGACGCCGCAGUGACGUCUGGUGUGGCGACGCGAGCUUCGCGCGGCGACUCGCUUGGCCUGUCGCCUUGUUUUAACAGAACCUGGAGGCUGCUCCUCGUUUCAGGACUGUCUUUAGAAAUGCUGACAGUAAAGCCAGAAGCUACCAUACUGCAAAAUGACCUCACGGAAACUUGGUGUGGACCCUGGUGCUUAGGACCCAGGCUUUCAAAAUGAGGAAACAUCUUUGUCUUUCUCUUCUUUGUUCCAAGGAGAUUUCCCCCACCUCCUCUUGCUGGUCCUCGGCUCUCUGGUUUGGGGGGAACUUGUCAUUGGAAACAGCAGCUGUGGAGGUGAUAACGCAGAAUGACACUCCUGAGCAGUCUCUCCUUCAGUUGCUUCUCCUUGUUCUCCGUGGUCUACUUCUCUAGAAAAAC